rnacentral:lncRNA from 1 species
GACGCCGCCGUUAUGACAUCCGGGGAGGGGCGGCGGCAUGAGGAAGAGGUGGUGAGGUGAGGAUGAGAUGAUGGUUGUAUCUCUGAAACAAGAUGAAGAAGAAGACACUAUUUCCCUUUAUGUUUUUUUUAUCAAAACAAUUACUUAAUUAUAGGUUUUAAUCUCAGCCAUUCAAUUUAAUUUUGCCACAUGUCUUCAAUCAAUAAAAAGAAAAGGAAGAAAAUGAGCCUUAGGAAAAGGAGCAAAGCUGCGCUCCUUCCAACUUACGGUACUGUACUUUUGAAUCUAUAAGUUUCCACUUCGUUACACGCAUCCUGUAAUAAAGUUCCGAAUAUCCUCAAACUUUUCCUUAAUAUCCUUGUCCUUGAAACAAAACAACACCAACUUUAUUCUAUGAAUCUUCCUCUUUCACGUUUCAUAACGUAAGCACAUGUUAUUUUCCACUUUUUUGUGGAUCCCACUGUGAACCUUCUCUUUCACUUUUUCACAGAUCACACCUCAUCCAAUCUAUAUAAACCCACCCAUUCAAGAUCCAUUUUCUUCCAUCUCUGCUUCCUUCUCCUCUAUUUCCACACUCUCCUCUCAGGUA